rnacentral:antisense_RNA from 1 species
CUUCAACGACCCCAGCCACAGCGGCCGGUCGGUGUCCCGGUCCUGGCCGUAGGUGGCCAGCAACGCCUGCACCUC